rnacentral:rRNA from 1 species
UUAAAUUGAAGAGUUUGAUCAUGGCUCAGAUUGAACGCUGGCGGCAGGCCUAACACAUGCAAGUCGAACGGUAACAGGAAGCAGCUUGCUGCUUCGCUGACGAGUGGCGGACGGGUGAGUAAUGUCUGGGAAACUGCCUGAUGGAGGGGGAUAACUACUGGAAACGGUAGCUAAUACCGCAUAACGUCGCAAGACCAAAGAGGGGGACCUUCGGGCCUCUUGCCAUCGGAUGUGCCCAGAUGGGAUUAGCUAGUAGGUGGGGUAACGGCUCACCUAGGCGACGAUCCCUAGCUGGUCUGAGAGGAUGACCAGCCACACUGGAACUGAGACACGGUCCAGACUCCUACGGGAGGCAGCAGUGGGGAAUAUUGCACAAUGGGCGCAAGCCUGAUGCAGCCAUGCCGCGUGUAUGAAGAAGGCCUUCGG